CUUCCUGGUCCUGGUCUCCCUUUCUCCCCCUGGAAGUUGCUGAAUGUAGACCACAGCCUGCACAGGCCAGGGAGCCCAGUGGACACAGCAGAGGCUCAGGCUGGCCAAACUUAUUCUCAAGACAAAGACGAUGAAGUAAAGCAGAUUCUGGAAUCAGCCUGCCUGCCUAUGAGUCACACAAGUUGUGUGACUUUGGAUCAUCUCUGAGAAAUCACUUUACAAAUGACUGAGAUUAUCAGCACACAGAAGGCUCUCUCACUCACAGCACUGCUAGGUGCAAUAGACAAAUGAUAUCAGACGUGUUUCUGCAACUAAUUUUAUUCCUGAAGCAUCUUAGGAAAGAAAAGCUCAAGCAAGAGACUGACACAGAUGUUGAAUUUUUUUUUAAAGCAUCUACAAGCAACACACACUAUCCAAAUAUUUUGUUAUUUUAUUUUACUUGGACUCCGUUUUGUUAUUAAAGAAAGGUUUGAAUGAGUUUGCAAAAUGCAUAUAAUAUAUAAAGAGGAGCAAAAAAGGAUAAAGAAAUUCAACUAAAAAAUAAAGAAAAUUAGAUUAUCCAUUUGUAAGGAUAUUGCAAAAAUUUGUACUUAAUCAGAUUUGGUGCUAUGCCACCUAAUGGCCAAAGCAAAGAGGAAAACAUGAUCAGCCUGAGAUGCUGCCCAUCUGGAGGGGGAAAGGUUAAACUAUUAGAUCGCAUUCACUUUUUCACAAGAACUUGGGGCUACUUCUCACAUUUUGUGGUUUAGGGUCAGGAAGGAUAAUUAUCCUGCAAUGCUUCAGUCCUAAAUAAUUGUCCUGCCUGAAAUGCCAAUUAUACACCUUUGAGAAUGGCUGACUUGCAUAAUUCGUAGAGCCUAAAAGUUAAAAACUCAAGAAUAAACCAGUAAUUUGGGAGAAGCACCAGCACUAAAAUUAGAAAAUGAAGUCCUUUUUGAGACCGCCUAAAAGGGACUC
rnacentral:lncRNA from 1 species